UCCAUCCAUCCAUCCAUCCAUCCAUCCAUCCAUCCAUCCAUCCAUCCAUCCAUCCAUCCCUGCAGGGCUCUCUCUGCUGCACCUACAGGCUGAGGGCACAGAGCACUUGGUGUGGCACUGCAGAUCUUCCCCCUCCUUCCCUUCCUUGUUUCACAGUCCCUCUCUGCUGAGGCAGAGGUCUCUUUAUGGCUGGGAGAGUCUCACAGCUCUAAACUGCUCCUGUGUUUUCUGGGGACUUCACAAGUUCCCAGAGCAAUUUAAACUCGGUGUGGUAAAGGAGGCCUGAAAAGUUCCCUUCCUUUUCCUUACCUUUUAGGAAGUGGCAUCAAACUGUCCUUCCAAAAUGAGUCUGCAUUUAUGAUUCAGCGCUGUGCAGCAGCCCCAGGGCCAGCCCAGAUAAGCUGCUAUAAAUCAUUCAAAGCAGGGAGAUAACAACACUCCUAGUUAAGAUCCAGGUUUAUAUUAUGUAUGUUUAUAAAGCAUAAAUAGGUGUCUCUGACUGAGUACCAACAUCCCAGCCUAUUCUGAGAAGUCUUUUCUGUGACUUAUGUAGUCUUUGAUCAGUUUUUAGCAGUGUUCAGUGAACAACUUCAUGUUUACCUAUCUGAAGUUUUUAAAAAUUAUUUAUAAUUAAAGGAAAUCUAGUAUGUUGUAUCAAUAGGCUAGUGUCCUGCCAUUGUGGAAACACUACUUUAAAAUGCUGAAUAUUAUCUUAUGAAACUAUAAAGAGGUGGUUUAUGCUAUAACUGGUCCAAUUUAACUGAUACAAAAAGAUGCAGUCGUGCCAUCAGUUCCGCCUGUCCCUCUCUUUCCUCUAUUACAUUAUAUUUAGCACUAAUGCAAAAUAUGAAGUAGAAACAACUGGAAACUGAUGUUGCAACUCCCCCCAAGCACUGGUUUUCCAUCAGCUGAGUGAACUGAACUGGUUUAAUCUGUGUGAUGCACUGCAGGGGUCGGGGGAACAGGGAAGUCGUGUCUGCCCAUGGAAGUUUCCAGUUACCUGAGUUUGUGCAGUUACCCGUUUCUGCAGUUUGUGCACACUGGGCAAUCAUGCUCCGAGUCCCUGGCUGCCAGCAGGCUCUGAUCCCCACUCAGUGUGUGUUUUGGACUACUCUCUUUAAGAGGUGGAGUGCAAUUAGAGCAUCUUAGCUGGGUCUCUGCGUGGCCACGUUCCACCUCUCCAGAAACCCUGGCAGUGCUCUGAGCCUUUGUGAAGUAUUAGUGCUGGCAUUAGGAGCAAUUCCUGAUUUAUUAUUGUGUGUCACUUUAAUUAACAUGCUGUUUCACUCCCCCUUCCAGGCUGUUAAUGAAGAUGUUAAAUAAACAGGACCAAACAGUGAUCCCUGCAGAGCUGCACCAGACACCUCCCACCCGCUUGAUGCAUUGCCAUUUUUCAUUACCCUUUAUUUGCACUCAGCCAGCCAUUUUUAAAUCCAAGUGACAGUCCUCCAUGUCCAAGCCAAUUUGAAUUAAUUUUGCGAGCAGAGAUUUUGUAAGACACUACAUCAAGUGUUUUACUCAGACCAGAUAUAUUACACAUGCUUUCAUCCACUAAUUUUCUAAAGCUAUCAGAAAAAGCAAUCAAGCUUUGAAGAUUACUAGCACCCAGCCAGCUUUUUGCUGGUUUAUUCACUUACAAAACCAAUCUUGGCAUUAUUAAAGAUUUGCCACUCCUUCAGCUGAUGAGUGAUUUAAAACAAUGCAUCUUUCUAAUCCAUUACCUUCCCAAAAUAACACAGAGCCCUGAUUAUUCCUCCUAAGUGCUAUUUUAGGGCUCUGUGGUGUGUGAGUUUAAAUUGUGAUUGGCAGACAGAUAUUUUUCUUGAAAAGGAUCCGUGAUUUCAGCAGCUUAGCUUAUGUUUAUUUUACAUGCUUCCAGCUGUUAGCUUGUAUCAGCAGUUAUUCCUUAUUCCCAGUAUGGAAGCAAGCAGGUCCUGUGGCACCUCUUUAAUUAUAUCAGGGAAGGAACAUCAGACUGGCAGUACAGGUAAAAAAUACAGUCUGGCAGGAUUAGUCCUCACAAAACCAGAUUUAUUUCUUACACCAGAGGAACAUGCCAGUCAAAAUAAACUUUCUCUCCUUAUUUAAUAUAUCCCUUCCCUCUAUGUUUUAUGGCCUGCUCAUGCUAUAAAUUGUUAUACUUAAGACUUCUAGUCAGAAUUUGGGUUUUUUCCCCCUCUUUUGGCUUGUUCAUCCUUUAUUCUUCUGCCUUCCUAAAGCUGGAACCAUUUGUUCACCACCUAUUCCUUCCUGUGGUUGUGAAGGGCUGUGUUUGUUUUCCAGAUGUGGUUUGGGGCACAGGGAAAUGUGGUGCCUGCAAGUUUCUGCAGACUCUUCACUAAAAUUGGGAAGGUUUCAGGUUCUUUUCCCUCCUACUAAACUCUGUUUUUUCACAGCUGCCCCCACUGAAACACUUUCUCUUUUCUCUGCCAGUGUGAUUCAAAUACAGUUCUUGGUUAUUCCCUUACCUGGGGCUCAGCUCUGCCUCUGCUUUGUCAAUGGUGUUUUUACUGAAAUGAGUCCAAAAAGUUUCCUGCUACAUUUCUCUAAAUUUUUCAUGCUGUUAAGUCAGCUUGUUCAGGGUAAAAAUUUUCAAACUGGAAUGUCACCCUCACAAAAGUGCUGAGUGUUUUGCUGACUUCUGUGAGUUUAGGGGAUCCUACAAUGGAUGUUGAAUUGUUUAUUGAAUGUGGUUUUUCUUUAUUUCUUCACUCAAUUUUAUUUAUCAAAAUUAAUGGUCUCUUGAUUGAAGUCUUUCAGCUCCUAGUGGAGUGACUACAUCAGAAUACCCAGUGCUGAACUCCUUUGCAUGUGUGCAUGAAGGCAGAAAGCACAUUGAUUUUCCUCCCAAGGAUAAGGGAAACAAAGGUCAGAGCUGCUCACACUCUAAUUUAUGCAAGAUUAAUGCAGAGAAUACAGCAGAGUUCACUUAAUGAGGGUGAAACAUGCAGAUGGGUGAAGACGUAUCAUUUUCAGUUUUGAUUUCCCAGCUGAAAGAAUAUAAAAUAAUACAAUAAUGUAAAAUAUCUUUAAAAAGAAUUCCUGAUUUAGAGGUAAGAAGUAGUGUGCAAUCCUGUUUGAAGGUGGAAACAAGGAGCUCAGGCCUCAUUUCCCUCUGCUCAGCCUUUGGAAUAUCCUGCAUUUUCUGCUUCCACACUUGUGGAAAGCUGGGCACCGUUCUGUCAUUGGUGAGGCUGCCCUGGUGGGACGAUGCUGUCUCACAGAAAUAUUCCUGUGCUAAUGCUCUCGUGGCUGCUGGAGGAAAUCCAGAGGUUUGUGUUAAUCAGCGUCUGCAGUCCGUAAAAACAAAGAACUUGCUGAUGAACUCAGAAUGGUAAGAAAUGCCUGGUGUCUGCAGCAAAGCGCCUGGAGUGAAGAGUCCUCUCUCCACAGAUUGACCUUCUGGAGCUUCAAUUGUGCGUCUGCACUCACACCCAGCAGUGCUCUGCAGCUCAAGAUUGUGUUGCCAGCUGCCUUUAAGACUCCCUUUUAGUCUCUCUUUGCUUUGCAGAGCUUUUCCUUAGCACAGUGACAGAGCAGACAAGGCAAAGCACAGAGAGAAAAAGGAGCAUUGGUGUUACUGCAGCAGGAAAAAGCCACUGCCAGGGUCUGUGUGGAGCACUCCCAUUUGUACAGUCUGUGGUUGAGAAUGAAGCUCUGCUCUUUGGGAGGGAUUCAUUGUCCCUAAAUGGACAGGUAUGGAUUUACUGUGGGUUUGAGAGGCUAAAGUGAGUUUUGCUGCUGUGCAUUCACAGGUCUGGCUCUGUGUCUCCUCUUGCUUGGUGACCUGCCCCAAAUCCAGGUCCUGUUCUGUCACCUCCUUCUCACGUUAUUAUUGAUGGGCAACGGGCACACAAACGUUCAGCCAUAAUUUCUCUCCUUAAAACUGGAAUGGGGGCUUUGGAAAGAGCUUCAUUUUCAGCAAUGUCCUGCAACUUGCACUCGAGGCAGAAAUAAAAACGCCCAUUUCACUCUGUAACUGACUUUAAUCUCCAAAUUUGGCACACUAACUCCUGAGAGGUUAACUGAAUUUUCAGCUCACCAAACAAAAGUCCUUAAAGUGUUUACUGGAGUUUUGCUCAGAUUUUCUCAUGUUUCAUGGAUUUUCUGAACUAGUUCAGCCCGAUGUUGAGUUUUAAACAACUGCCAGGCAUCUGAGAGACAGAAAACUCCUGAACAUGCAGCAGGAGCUCUGCAUUCACCAGGAUCUGGUGAGUUUCAAAGACUGUUCACAGACACCCGCUGAAUGUUGUUUUUGGAUGUUUCUAGACAAUAUUUUGUUGAAAAAAAAACCAAUCCACUCUGAAAAAAAUUAUGAACUCUGCCUCCCUUUUCAAAUGCAAACAUCACAGCUAUCUAUUCUUCUGUGCUGUCUCCUCAUCUACAGUCAGUGCAAACCAGGGGGUCAAGGUAGGGCCUCGUGUGCCGAGUCUGAAGUGAGGAAAUAAAGUUCCAUUGGCACCAGGUUCAUGUUCUGCCUCCAAAGCUCUGCCAGCUGCUCCCGAUCCUUUGUCUGUGUUCUUGGAGUCACACUGCUGGACUGGGAGGAAGAGAUGUCAUUCACAGCUUUAUUAAACAUCUGUAAUGCCUGUUACUUAAUUAAAACCCAGCCUGAUAGAAGCCCAGAUUGCAUCUGCCUGAUAAGAGAUAUUCCACUGUUCUCUUACCGUGGAAACUGUUGUGUUUGACUGAGUUUUCCCUCUAUUUCAGAAAUCAAAUGUUGAAUUGAUGAGCUUCUUCCUCCCCUCUGAUUUCCAAAAGCAAAGAAAAGAACGAUAUUCAUGUUGGCAAGAAUUUCCUGCAGCACUAAAAUCUAUUUCUGCUGUGCUGGCUUUUCUGUAUUUUUCGUGCCUCUCUUUUGUUUCUAACAGAACUGGUUGCUUCCCCAAAAAUCUUAUGAGAACUUUCAGACUGCAAUCAAUUUCCAGUGUCUUUAUGGAAGCAAAGCUCUGUCAUUAUGUUCCCAGAGGGAUGUACCAGUAAACCUGAAUCUGGGGAAUAAAAUUGGAGGAUUACUGUUUCUUGUCAUGUAUUUCAGUUUUAUGGUGUUGAGUACACUGGAAUGGCUUAGUAGGGACAAAAAACAACAGCAAGGAAGGGAAAUAGCUAUUAAUGUCCUAUCAGAGCUUGAUAGGGCUUGAUAGGAAAAAAAAAAACCCCAAACUUGUGAUACCUUCAGCAAUUGUAAUUUCAAUUACUUGCCAGCUAAAGGCAACUUUCACUGCUCCAAGUUAGGAAAUCAUGUAAAUAGACUAAUUAAUACAAUUUGCCUUGUGCUCCACUAAGAGAACAAAACCAAAUAUUUCAUUUUCUAAGAGGAAGAAAAAAAAGUAAACUAAAUAUUAUAAAUAUUCAGUCCGUCUGCAAAGCAAACAUUGCCUUUUUCCUGUCAUGCCCAGCAUUUCUGAGGGAUUCAGCAGGAUUCCCUGGGAUGGCGGUGCCUUGCUUUGGCUCUCCAGCUGCUCCCCAGCGGAUGGCAAUGCUCCUCUGUGAGGAUGAGAGGCAGCUCUCCCAGAGCACCGAGCAACAACGGGGGGCUGCACACGGAAAGGAGGCUUCAUCAUCUUCUAUCUGCAGCCCUUUAAUAUCAAGAGACUUCCACAAAACUUGAAAUGAGUCUUUGAAAUGUUCCGUGCUGUGGAGGUAGGAAGGUACAAUAAAUAAUAUUUCUCUUUUUCCUCGUGUGGAAUGGAGAGAUAAAGCUAUUUAUAAAGCUGUGAAGACUUACAAAUCAUUCCAACAGGUUGUCAUAUGUUAAUGUCAGCGAGAAUUUAAUCACCCAAGGUAAAAAAAUCUAUAUUUUUUUUUCUCCAAUCCUAUCUUAUUUUCAUAACUCUCUCUAUUGACAGAUUCUCUUGUGAUGAUAGAUUAAAGGAAUGCCCAAGACCAGAAAAAUGUAAAAUCAGAAAAAGUGCAGGGAGUGACCCAGUGGGUUGUCUUUAAACUGCGUGGCAGUUUUAUUUUUUUGUUCUUGCAGCAUUUACAGGAUCUAAUGAGGAGUCAUUGCGCUCAGCACUGUGCACCUGCUGAACAAGGAAAUACAGAGCUAAUAAAUGGAUGGACUGUGGAGAUCCAGAUUUAUGUAACAAGCAGCAAAGCUAUCUGUGCAAACUCUUUGUGGAGUUGUUGGUUCAGGAAUAAACAACCUUGCUUAGGAGCAGAACAGUUUUACUCAUCAAUUUAUUAAUAAAGAUUUUUAUGACAGCUGCUUGCCCAAAAAGCUGCUCAGUGAUGGGUUUAAUUUGCCAUCUGGGACUGGAGUGCCCUGAAUUCUUUGGCUUUUAGCCACUCUCACUCCUGUUAAAAGGAGACUCAUCCUUUGGCUUUCCAGGUGAUCCCGUGGUGAGUUUGACUUUAUCCUCUGAACCAAAGAGGAGUUUUAUAGAAAAAUAAAGACAUGCACGACGUUACAUCUGUGAUCGUAUAAUUUUGUAUCUAGCUCUCAGCAAAUCCAGUGCUGGUGAGGUUCUUGUCCAGAGGAGGUUGGACAUCCAGCAUUCCUUGGUGGCCUUUGUCCUUUAUCCUGAGCUCAAAUUGAAGUGGGGAAGGCUCAGCCCAAGCUUGCUGUGCUGCUAUGGUUUUGAGAAGAUACUGAAACAUCCAGUUUUUGACAGCAUCUUGCCAGCUACUUGAAUUUGAAAGAUGAGAAAAGUCUCUGGAGCAUACAGGAAGAGUGAUGAUAGUCAGAAGGAAAUGGAUUGUGUAUUGUUAAAAAACAAGACCUAUCCAAACAUGCAAGAGAAAUGGAAGGAUGACACGGAUGAACAUUCCUGGCUGUGUUUCCUGCAGACCUUGCUCUCCCCUGCACCUUCGUGGCACAGACAAAUAUUCCAGUUCACAGAAUGGGGACAAUUAGAAUGGAAGAAGUUUUUAUGGUUUGACUUGGAGACUUUCAUUGUGCUUUAUUGGAUAAUUAGAGGCAUCAGCAUCUCAGAAGUUAAUGACCUGCCUGAAAUCAUGGGGAUUUUAGAAGAUGGAAUGUUACUAAAUUAAUAAAUAUAAUAAAUAUUAACUAUUUCAUGCAAGUAUAUGGUCUAUCUGAAAAUAAAGCUGAGAACAAUGCUGGGUUUUCACUUCAGAAGUGAUGGUUUCAUAUACAACUACAGCAUUUUUUAUUUAUGAUGUUGAUAUUCAGAACAGAGCUGUGGAUUAUAUUCAUCGUGCCCAUCUGGGCUGUGCUUGCAUGUUAAUUAAAACACAAUUCCCCUUAAUGUGGAGAUGCUCUCUGUCUUCAGGCUGGGGCUCCUUCAGCAGGCUCAGGACAGCCUGAUAAGUGUGGGGAAAUGUUUCAAUGCUUGCUCUUAUGUUUAUGGUGAAGCAGAGAAAGUUUUCCAGCUCCCCAGGUAAUGAGUCUCCAAUACAGGAAACAUUUGGGGAUGAUAUAGGAUCUGCUGAGGAAAAUGGAAAGUAUGAUGAGAGAUGAAAUGAAUUAUAGACAAGUGAAGGAAAUGGGGAAAGUUUUAAGAGAAAUUGUUUUAUAUAGAAUAGUUAUUAUAACACUUAGUCA